rnacentral:piRNA from 1 species
UAUGUCUGUUUGGAAAGAAGU